UACAGGGGGUGCAAACGUUGCUCGGAAUCAUUGGGCGUAAAGCGCACGUAGGCGGUUCGUUAUGUCGGAUGUGAAAGCCCUUGGCUUAACCGAGGAAGUGCAUCCGAAACUGGCGAGCUAGAGUACUAAAGAGGAUCGCGGAAUUCCCGGUGUAGAGGUGAAAUUCGUAGAUAUCGGGAGGAACACCGGUGGCGAAGGCGGCGAUCUGGGUAGAUACUGACGCUGGGGUGCGAAAGCGUGGGGAGCAAACAGG
rnacentral:rRNA from 1 species